rnacentral:piRNA from 1 species
UGAUGGCAGUUACCAGUCAAUUCUCGCUUUGC